CCCUUAGAUGUCCUGGGCCGCACGCGUGCUACACUGAUGCAUACAGCGAGUACUUUCCAGCUCCGCGAGGCAGCUGGUAAUCAGCAAUAUGCAUCGUGCUGGGGAUAGAUCUUUGGAAUUAUGGAUCUUGAACGAGGAAUUCCUAGUAAGCGCAAGUCAUUAGCUUGCGCUGAUUAAGUCCCUGCCCUUUGUACACACCGCCCGUCGCUCCUACCGAUUUCGAGUGAUUCGGUGAACCUUUUGGACAGCGUCUGUCCUCGUGUCAGAUGCUGAAAGUCAAGUAAACCAUAUCACUUAGAGGAAGGAGAAGUCGUAACA
rnacentral:rRNA from 1 species